rnacentral:rRNA from 1 species
CCUACGGGCGGCAGCAGUGGGGAAUAUUGGACAAUGGGCGAAAGCCUGAUCCAGCCAUGCCGCGUGUGUGAAGAAGGCCUUCGGGUUGUAAAGCACUUUCAGUGGGGAAGAAAGCCUUGGGGCUAAUACCCUCGAGGAAGGACAUCACCCACAGAAGAAGCACCGGCUAACUCCGUGCCAGCAGCCGCGGUAAUACGGAGGGUGCGAGCGUUAAUCGGAAUUACUGGGCGUAAAGCGCGCGUAGGCGGUCUGAUAAGCCGGUUGUGAAAGCCCCGGGCUCAACCUGGGAACGGCAUCCGGAACUGUCAGGCUAGAGUGCAGGAGAGGAAGGUAGAAUUCCCGGUGUAGCGGUGAAAUGCGUAGAGAUCGGGAGGAAUACCAGUGGCGAAGGCGGCCUUCUGGACUGACACUGACGCUGAGGUGCGAAAGCGUGGGUAGCAAACAGGAUUAGAUACCCCAGUAGC